rnacentral:rRNA from 1 species
AGUGAACGCUGGCGGUAGGCCUAACACAUGCAAGUCGAACGGCAGCACAGUAAGAGCUUGCUCUUACGGGUGGCGAGUGGCGGACGGGUGAGGAAUACAUCGGAAUCUACUUUUUCGUGGGGGAUAACGUAGGGAAACUUACGCUAAUACCGCAUACGACCUACGGGUGAAAGCAGGGGAUCUUCGGACCUUGCGCGAUUGAAUGAGCCGAUGUCGGAUUAGCUAGUUGGCGGGGUAAAGGCCCACCAAGGCGACGAUCCGUAGCUGGUCUGAGAGGAUGAUCAGCCACACUGGAACUGAGACACGGUCCAGACUCCUACGCGAGGCAGCAGUGGGGAAUAUUGGACAAUGGGCGCAAGCCUGAUCCAGCCAUACCGAGUGGGUGAAGAAGGCCUUCGGGUUGUAAAGCCCUUUUGUCGGGAAAGAAAAGCAGCAGGUUAAUACCCCGCUGUUCUGACGGUACCCAAAGAAUAAGCACCGGCUAACUUCGUG